AGAAUCCCAAGCAGGCUCCAGGCUGCCAGCACAGAGCCUGAUGCGGCGCUUGAACUCAGGAACUGUGAGAUCAUGAUCUGAAUGGAAAUCAAGAGUCAGAUGCCUCAGGGCGCCCGGGUGGCUCAGUCCGUUGAGCGUCAGACUUUGGCCCAGGUCAUGAUCUCACAGUUUGUGAGUUCGAGCCCCGUGUCGGGCUCUGUGCUGACAGCCCAGAGCCUGGAGCCUGCUUCAGAUUCUGUGUCUCCCUCUCUCUCUGCCCCAUCCCCACUCAUGCUCUGUCUCUCUCUGUCUUAAAAAUAAAUAAAACAUUAAAAAAAAAUUUUUUUUGAGUCAGAUGCCUAACCAACUGAGGCACCUAGGUGCCCCAGAGCUCUCCUAUUUCUUGUAUAUAUAUUAUUUUUGGAAUUUCAGCCUACCAUUUAUCCUUACAAAAAUUUAAGCCAUUGACUCAGCCCACUGAGGCCAUUUGGAACCUCAUUUCCCUCGUUGGUUAACAAAUCAUCCCCCUGCUUUGUGCCAGCUGCCGUUUGUGUCUCUUUCAAGUUGUUGAUGAAAAUCUAGAUUUUAUUCUAACCAAGGGCAGAGUCCAGUGGUCUGUUGAUAAAGGCAGCCUCUGAGUUGACAUCAGUUCAUUAAAUCAACUUUCUUGGCCACUGUUUAACCACUAGUAAAUCUGCUUUGUUUUCUUUUUCACCCCAUUUAUUUCUGCAACUUAUCUUCUGAGAUGUUCUCGAUACCUUGGGCUAAUAACUAUCACAGAAUGUCUGGAAACCAGCUUGGAACUCAUCUUGAAAUCAGACCUGAUUUGUUGGUGAGCCUAACUCCUAGAUGUGACAGUUUUCUGCAUUCUUACAGGCACCAGUUUGAUAGCUCUCUCUCCCCCCCCCCAUUUUUUUUAAUGUUUAUUUAUUUUUGAGAGAGAGAGAGGGUGCAUGUGGGGGGGGGGGGCGAGGGGAGAGGCAGAGAGGGAGACAGAAGAUCAGAAGCAAGCGCUGUGCUGACAGCAGAGAGCCCGAUGUGGGGCUUGAACCCAGGAACUGUGAGAUCAUGACCUGAGCCAAAGUCAGAUAGUUAACUGACUGAGCCACUCAGGCGCCCGUUGAUAGCCCUGUCUUAAGUUUUGCUAUGGAUUUCUCUCUCUCAGUGAUCCUGUCCUUACCAGGAUCAGUAGCAUUUGAUGAAACUAGGGACAAAAUCUAUCUCUGUUCCUCUGCAACUUUUCCUCAUUUGUGUUUUCUUAGAAAGUAGAAGUGUGUUUCUGUGAUAAUAUCUGCAAAAUCUUUUUCAUAUCCAAGGCUGUAUAUAAUUUGUCUGUGAUGGGAGACCUGAUUUAUUUCUAAAUGGUGGUAUACUCUUAGAACUACAACCUAUCUUGGGUUUCAAGUUCACUACAAUUUUUAUUUUACUUUUUUUUAACUUGAAGAUUUUUUUUCUUUGGUAGAGAAGAUAGGAGUAAAAUAGAAAUAGAGCAGUUUGGGGGCACCUGGGUGGCUCAGUUGGUUAAGCGUCCGACUUCAGCUUAGGUCACGAUCUCACGGUCCGUGAGUUCGAGCCCCGCGUCGGGCUCUGGGCUGAUGGCUCAGAGCCUGGAGCCUGCUUCCCAUUCUGUGUCUCCCUCUCUCUCUGCCCCUCCCCCGUUCAUGCUCUGUCUCUCUCUGUCCCAAAAAUAAAUAAACGUUAAAAAAAAAAAAAAAAAAGAAAUAGAGCAGUUUGUACCCUAAUAGCGUGUUUUUAAAAAUGACAUGGAACUGUUAAGCUGCAUAUGUGAUUAACUUACAUAGAACUACGUGCAUGCACACGCACACACGCGCGCGCGCACACACACACACACACACACACACACACAAACGAGUCUACGUAUGAUUGGUAAAAUCUAAGUAAGCUUGUACAAAUGUCAAUUUCCUGGUUUCGACAAUGUGCUAUGGUUAUAUAAGAUGUUAACAUUGGGGAGGUAGGGUGAAGGAUACAUGAAACUUCUCCCUAUAUUUCUUUAAAUUUUUUUUAACGUUUAUUCAUUUUUGAGAGACAGAGAGAGCAUGAGUGGGGGAGGGGCAGAGAGAGACGGCGACACAGAAUCUGAAGCAGACUCCAGGUUCUGAGCCUGAGGCGGGGCUCAAACUCAAACCGGGAGAUCAUGACCUGAGCCGAAGUUACAUGCUUAACCGACUGAGCCACUUAGGUGCCCCAACUUCCCCCUGUAUUUCUUUACACCUUUCUGUGAAUCCAUAAUUAGUUCAAAAUGAAAAGAUUUUUAACUUUAUUUUACAUAACUAUUAAAUGCUUCCAUGUUUAAAAUGUAGAAAAUUCAGAAAGUAUUUUUACAUCUCAUUACACAUUUAUAAUUAUGACGAAAACACUGAUGUGUUUCCUUUCAAACUUUUUCUGUGAAUAUAUACCCUUGGGUAGAUGUAUGUAUAUAAAUUAUUUUCCUUCAAAUUGGAGUGAUAAGACACGUGCAGAUUAAUUUCAGCCUUUUUGUUACACAAGUAAUAUGUGAACACAUGUUCACUGUAAGACAUUCAAACCAUGGUGACAUACCAAAGCAAAAUGGUCAAGUCUCCCUUGAAUCUCCACACAUUCACUCUCCAUACAGAUGUCACACACAAUGUGAGCCAUUGGUUCACUUCCUUCUAGGCCUUUCUCCCUUAAGUAUACUCACAUAUGUACAUAUACACAUAGAUAGAUCACCAAGACCUGUAGAUCUUUCCAUGUAGGUACUCAUGGGCCUCUCAUUGUUUAUGGCAAUUGCCUCAGUGCAUGAAUGGACCAUAAUUUAUUUAACUACUCCCUUGUUGAUGAGCAUGGAGGUUGUUUUAUUCUGGCGGUGGUUGUUGUUGUUGUUACUUAUGUGGACAUCCGUGUACCCAUAUAUAUUUCUUUUCUGAAAACCUUUAUGGACACCCUGUCCUUGUCUGUGUAUCCACAGUGCCUCUUCCAUAACACUUGCACCUCCUCCCACAUGGAAGCACAGCCAUCUACAUGUCUCCCCACCCCGAAUUAUUAAUUAGUGUGAUUAUUACAUAUUAGUUAUUAGUUAUCUUAGCACCAUCACCCAACAUAGCGCCUGGCACAUCAGAACUGUGUGAAUGAAUGAGUCAACUAAUGAACAAACACAUGAACAAACAGACUCUUGAGUCAGAGAUCCCUUCACUGGGACAAAGGAACAUUGUUAUAAUGAAGUAACUUGUAUUUGCAUGAUGGCUUUUGCACUUACAUACUCCUUCUCAUCUCUUCUCAUUUAUAUUUCUAACCAGUUCUGUGACAUUAAUAGAGCAGAUUUUUUUUUUACACCCGUUUUGUAGACACAAAGGGCUUAAGGAAGUCCAGGGAGAAAGGUCCAACAGUGUGGGCUUCCCACCAUGGGGCUGGUGCUGGACACAUCAAGUUCCAUCAAAUCAGCUCUAUCUGUGGACCAGUCCCAAGCAGCUGAAUUUUGUAACAUUGUAAAAGAACUACAUAAAACAGUCUUCUUCUUCUUUACAUCUGUGUUUAAUUUUGAGGACACUUUAGUGAUAUCUGAAUCUAUCUCAAAAGUUCAUGUUGGGGAACGAGGUGCCAUCCUGACCAGAGAUGUGUGGGGAGUUUUAUGCUUCACAUGCUGAUGCAAAACCGCGUUUGCAGGGAGAGGCCGUUGUAUUUUGAAAUUAACUCAAGUAAACUUUCCCAAGCCCUUCUACAAAGAGAGUGCUACGUAGAUAAGUGGUUUAAAGAGUCUUGAUUGUUGAUACUUGCUUUGAGCAAGCACAUUCGUGAACAAGAAGGCCAUGUGCUUUUUCCCUCUUGAUUCCGCUUGUUUCCUGCCCCCCUCUAUGACGUAAGAGCUGUCUUUAAGAGACAAGAGCGAGGAAGUACUUUGUCUAAAGGGCAUUAUUCUGAGUCAACAAAGUCAAUCUCAAAGGUUACACGCUGUAUGAUUCCAUUUAUAUGACAUUCUCAAAAUGACAAACUUACAGUGAUGACUCUAGUCAGGGAUUAGCUUGGGUAGGAUGUUCCUAAAGCAUGAGGGAGCACUUUUUUUUUGGUGUUGAAGCAAUUCUGUAAUUGUAUACAAAUCUGUACCUGUAAUAAAAUUUCAUGGAACUCUAUACCAGAACCCCUCCCCC